CAGGCCUUGAAUGAAGGCUGAUGCUGUUCUUUAUAGCCAUUGGCUUCAAGCAGCACCCGAGAAUAGCAUCUUUUCUGUGAUCUGUUGGCUGUUUUGAAUUUCAGAAUGAAACAGCCACUUCACUGAGGAGAAACAAGC